rnacentral:rRNA from 1 species
AUUGAACGCUGGCGGCAUGCUUUACACAUGCAAGUCGAACGGUAACAGGGUGCUUACACCGCUGACGAGUGGCGAACGGGUGAGUAAUGCGUCGGAACGUGCCGAGUAGUGGGGGAUAACGCAUCGAAAGGUGUGCUAAUACCGCAUACGUACUGAGGUAGAAAGUGGGGGACCUUCGGGCCUCACGCUAUUCGAGCGGCCGACGUCUGAUUAGCUAGUUGGUGAGGUAAAGGCUCACCGAGGCGACGAUCAGUAGCGGGUCUGAGAGGAUGAUCCGCCACACUGGGACUGAGACACGGCCCAGACUCCUACGGGAGGCAGCAGUGGGGAAUUUUGGACAAUGGGCGCAAGCCUGAUCCAGCCAUGCCGCGUGUCUGAAGAAGGCCUUCGGGUUGUAAAGGACUUUUGUCCGGGAGCAAAUACCCAGUGCUAAUAACGCUGGGGGCUGAGAGUACCGGAAGAAUAAGCACCGGCUAACUACGUGCCAGCCGCCGCCGUAAUAC